GACGAACGCUGGCGGCGUGCUUAACACAUGCAAGUCGAACGAAGAGCGAUGGAAGCUUGCUUCUAUCAAUCUUAGUGGCGAACGGGUGAGUAACGCGUAAUCAACCUGCCCUUCAGAGGGGGACAACAGUUGGAAACGACUGCUAAUACCGCAUACGGUCUAACCUCGGCAUCGAGGAUGGAUGAAAGGUGGCCUCUAUUUAUAAGCUAUCACUGAAGGAGGGGAUUGCGUCUGAUUAGCUAGUUGGAGGGGUAACGGCCCACCAAGGCGAUGAUCAGUAGCCGGUCUGAGAGGAUGAACGGCCACAUUGGGACUGAGACACGGCCCAGACUCCUACGGGAGGCAGCAGUGGGGAAUCUUCCGCAAUGGACGAAAGUCUGACGGAGCAACGCCGCGUGAGUGAUGACGGCCUUCGGGUUGUAAAGCUCUGUUAAUCGGGACGAAAGGCCUUCUUGCGAAUAGUUAGAAGGAUUGACGGUACCGGAAUAGAAAGCCACGGCUAACUACGUG
rnacentral:rRNA from 1 species